rnacentral:rRNA from 1 species
AUUGAACGCUGGCGGCAUGCUUUACACAUGCAAGUCGAACGGUAACAGGCCGCAAGUUGCUGACGGGUGGCUAACGCGUGAGUAAUUCAACCGAACGUGCCCCGUCGUGGGGGAUAACUACUCGCACGAGUAACUAGUACCGCAUACGAUCUAUGGUUGAAAGCGGCUGGGCGUAAGGCCUAACGCCAUUUCUGCUGCCGCUGUCACAUUAGGUAGUUGGGCGGGUAAAGGCUCACCAAGCCAACGAUCUGUAGCUGGUCUGAGAGGACGACCAGCCAAACUGGGACUGAGACACGGCCCAGACUCCUACGGGAGGCAGCAGUGGGGAAUUUUGGACAAUGGGCGAAAGCCUGAACCAGCAAUGCCGCGUGCAGGAAGAAGGCAUUCGGGUUGUAAAAUGCUUUUGUACGGAACGAAACGGUUUUGGUUAAAAAAUGGGGGUAAUGACGGUACCGUAAAAAGAAGCACCGGCUAACUACGUG